GCAUGUUACGAUUUGAGAUGAGACCCCAAACGUGGUCUUUUCUCAGUGUACGGCAUGCUAGAUCAUUAUGACUCCGAACCAUUGGCUGGUCCUAAUCAAUGGGCUUGAUCACUGAAGAGAGUCACACAUUA
rnacentral:snoRNA from 1 species